UAGCGUUAACACUGUAUGGAAAGAGGCAGCAUAUAGUUGCACGGAUGCUGAUAGUUUUCCUCGUCCAGUACCUGAUACGUGUACGUUUGAUUCCUCGACUUGGUUUGGAGGUUUUCGCCGUCUGCAGUAUGUCCCAGGUUCAACUGACGGCACCUUUUGUAAAAGUUUAUCUUUUGCCGGUGGAAACGACAACCCGUCUUAUAAGGAAGUCAGUUGUGACAUGUCAUUAAAGUUUUACUGCCGAUUUAUAGAGUCGGGAUAUAACGAGACAUGUGACGUCAACAUACAUUCUUCCUGUGAUACCAGAUUCAUCUGUUCUGACCGUGGUGGUUCUCCCAAGUGCCUGUGCCCUGAGGACAAGUACUUGGAUAAUACAUUCGGAAUUUGUGGAACAAGUAUGUAUUUUCAGACUA